UACGAAGGGGGCUAGCGUUGUUCGGAUUUACUGGGCGUAAGGCGCGCGUAGGCGGAUUUGCAAGUCGGGGGUGAAAGCCCGAGGCUCAACCUCGGAACUGCCCUCGAUACUGCAAAUCUCGAGUCCGAGAGAGGUGAGUGGAAUUCCUAGUGUAGAGGUGAAAUUCGUAGAUAUUAGGAAGAACACCAGUGGCGAAGGCGGCUCACUGGCUCGGUACUGACGCUGAGGCGCGAAAGCGUGGGGAGCAAACAGG
rnacentral:rRNA from 1 species